ACGGCUCAGUAACACGUAGUCAACAUAACCAAAGGACGUGGAUAAACUCGGGAAACUGAGGCUAAACCGCGAUAGAUCAAGAUACCUGGAAUGGUUUUUGAUCAAAAUCUAUAUGGCCUCUGGAUUGGACUGCGGCCGAUCAGGCUGUUGGUGAGGUAAUGGCCCACCAAACCUGAAACCGGUACGGGCUCUGAGAGGAGAAGCCCGGAGAUGGGCACUGAGACAAGGGCCCAGGCCCUAUGGGGCGCAGCAGGCGCGAAACCUUUGCAAUAGGCGAAAGCCUGACAAGGUUACUCUGAGUGAUCUCCGCUAAGGAAAUCUUUUGACACCUCUAAAAAUGGUGUAGAAUAAGGGGUGGGCAAGCCUGGUGUCAGCCGCCGCGGUAAUACCAGCACCCCGAGUGGUCGGGACGAUUAUUGGGCCUAAAGCAUCCGUAGCCGGUUCUUUAAGUCCUCCGUUAAAUCCACCUGCUUAACAGAUGGGCUGCGGAGGAUACUAUAGAGCUAGGAGGCGGGAGAGGCAAGCGGUACUCAGUGGGUAGGGGUAAAAUCCGUUGAUCCAUUGAAGACCACCAGUGGCGAAGGCGGCUUGCCAGAACGCGCUCGACGGUGAGGGAUGAAAGCUGGGGGAGCAAACCGGAUUAGAUACCCGGGUAGUCCCAGCUGUAAACGAUGCAGACUCGGUGAUGAACAGGCUUCGUGCCUGUUCAGUGCCGCAGGGAAGCCGUUAAGUCUGCCGCCUGGGGAGUACGGUCGCAAGACUGAAACUUAAAGGAAUUGGCGGGGGAG
rnacentral:rRNA from 1 species